GACAGAGGCCUCAAGCGUUAGGCGGAAUCACUGGGCUUAAAGCGUGUGUAGGCGGAUCGUUAAGUGUCUUGUGAAAUCCCACGGCUCACCCGUGGAACGGCUGGGUAUACUGCCUGUCUUGAGCCAACUAGGGGCGAGCGGAACAGACGGUGGAGCGGUGAAAUGCGUAGAUAUCGUCUGGAACGCCAAAGGUGAAAACAGCUCGCUGGGGUUGUGCUGACGCUGAGACACGAAAGCCAGGGGAGCGAACGGG
rnacentral:rRNA from 1 species